rnacentral:rRNA from 1 species
CUACGGGUCGCAGCAGUGAGGAAUAUUGCGCAAUGGCCGAAAGGCUGACGCAGCAACGCCGCGUGAGGGAUGAAGCUUCUAGGAGUGUAAACCUCUGUUAGAAGAGACGAACAGGUGGAAUGUUAAUAAUGUUUUACUUUGACGGUAUCUUCAGAGAAAGCCCCGGCUAACUCCGUGCCAGCAGCCGCGGUAAUACGGGGGGGGCAAGCGUUGUCCGGAAUUAUUGGGCGUAAAGGGCGCGUAGGCGGAAUGGUUAGUUGGAGGUGAAAAUCCCAGGCUUAACUUGGGACCUGCCUUCAAUACUGCCGUUCUUGAGUUCGGAAGAGGGAAGUGGAAUUCCUGGUGUAGCGGUGAAAUGCGUAGAUAUCAGGAAGAACACCGGUAGCGAAGGCGGCUUCCUGGUCUGAUACUGACGCUAAGGCGUGAAAGCGUGGGGAGCAAACAGGAUUAGAUACCCCCGUAGUC